UCCUCAGUAGCUCAGUGGUAGAGCGGUCGACUGUUAAUCGAUUGGUCGCAGGUUCGAAUCCUGCCUGGGGAG
rnacentral:tRNA from 3 species